UACAGAGGUCUCAAGCGUUGUUCGGAUUCAUUGGGCGUAAAGGGUGCGUAGGUGGUGGGGUAAGUCGGAUGUGAAAUCCCGGGGCUCAACCCCGGUACUGCAUUCGAUACUGCCUUGCUCGAGUACUGGAGAGGAGACUGGAAUUUACGGUGUAGCAGUGAAAUGCGUAGAUAUCGUAAGGAAGACCAGUGGCGAAGGCGAGUCUCUGGACAGUUACUGACACUGAGGCACGAAGGCCAGGGGAGCAAACGGG
rnacentral:rRNA from 1 species